AACUUUUGACAAUGGAUCACCUGGCUCUCGCAUCGAUGAAGAACGCAACGAAAUGCGAUAAGUAAUGUGAAUUGCAGAAUUCAGUGAAUCAUCGAAUCUUUGAACGCACCUUGCGCUCCCUGGGAUUCCGGGGAGCACGCCUGUUCGAGUGUCGCGAAAUUUCUCAAGCUUGGAUGACAAUUUUUGUCUGUCCUUAGUUGGGUUUUUGGGCUUUGCCGUGUCCUUCAUUGGGACGGCUGGCCUUAAAAGCAUUAGCUGAUCCUCGUGUGGAACUGGUUCUACUCAGCGUGAUAACAGUCUGAUCGCUGAGGACAUCUUUCGGGAUGGCCAGUCCCCAUUUGGAUUGCUUCUAAACCCGGUUUUGCAGAUUGUUUGAUCUGUAUUCCAAUUUUCAGCUUUGACCUCGAAUCAGGUGGGACUACCCGCUGAACUUAAGCAUAUCAAUAAGCGGAGGCU
rnacentral:misc_RNA from 1 species